GUGCAGCCUUAUUUUGCUAUUCAUGUAUGUGUUCCUUCAUUACUACAGAUUAUCAUAUCAACGAUUUCGAUGAGUUCCAAGAGUAGCCACACCUUCCCCAUCCCCAGCCACAUCCACCACAAGAGCAGCCUGCUCACCCACACCAACACCCACCACAACACCAGCCUUCUCAACUACAGAAAUUGUGGACCUUGACUAUUGCACUGUGUACCCAAUGGCGGUAGAAGCAGAAAUGACCUCUCCUGCCCUAAGUGUUGCUGAAGGAGUGUGAUACGUAAAUUGAUGUAUUAAAACUGUGGAAAUCAAUAUCAAGGUGACAUAUUUUAAUCAUAUCUUAACGAGUAGGCCGUACUUUCAGCUCUACAAGGCUGAUCCACCAAGUAGACAGGUCUCCCUGACCGGUGUCCAGAUACCAUGCAGUUGAAAGCCCACUCUGCUCAGUGAUGCCACAGCCUCAACCAGAGUUGGGCUUUCGAAAAAAAAUAAUAAUAAAUCUUAUAUUAUUGCAUCUUUUGAAUACCUGCCUUUGGGAUACCAAUCUCGCCUCUGAUGAAAUUUAAUUGAAGUGUAAAUUAAGUAAGCGAACAUCCUGUGACCAAGAACUCCCAAGAUCCUGUUUACAAUCCCAAAUGUGGCGCCUUGUUUAGUACGGAUGGGAGAGGAUGCUGUGAGAACACUUCACACCUUAGGCAAAUACCCUUCUCGAAGUCAUAAAUGAAUAAUACAUUGUUGUGUUCAGGGCCCCUAUUAAUAAACACUUUGAAAGCUAAAA